CAGUCGCCACGGGAAUACGUAGGGGGCAAGCGUUGUCCGGAAUUAUUGGGCGUAAAGCGCGCGCAGGCGGUUUUUUAAGUCUGGUGUCUAAGUGCGGGGCUCAACCCCGUGACGCACUGGAAACUGGGAGACUUGAGUGCAGAAGAGGAGAGCGGAAUUCCACGUGUAGCAGUGAAAUGCGUAGAGAUCGGAAGGAACAUCUGUGGCGAAGGCGACUAUCUGGGCCAACACUGACACUGAGGCACGAAAGCGUGGGGAGCAAACAGGAUUAGAUACCCCUGUAGUCCCUGUCUCUUAUACA
rnacentral:rRNA from 1 species